rnacentral:misc_RNA from 1 species
GAUGAAGAACGUAGCGAAAUGCGAUAAGUAAUGUGAAUUGCAGAAUUCAGUGAAUCAUCGAAUCUUUGAACGCACAUUGCGCCCGCUGGUAUUCCAGCGGGCAUGCCUGUUCGAGCGUCAUUUCAACCCUCAAACCCCCGGGUUUGGUGUUGGGGAUCGGCUCUGCCUCACGGCGGUGCCGCCCCCGAAAUACAUUGGCGGUCUCGCUGCAGCCUCCAUUGCGUAGUAGCUAACACCUCGCAACUGGAACGCGGCGCGGCCAUGCCGUAAAACCCCAACUUCUGAAUGUUGACCUCGGAUCAGGUAGGAAUACCCGCUGAACUUAAGCAUAUCAAUAAGCGGAGGA